rnacentral:rRNA from 1 species
AAUGAACGCUGGCGGCAGGCCUAACACAUGCAAGUCGAACGGAUCCUUCGGGAUUAGUGGCGGACGGGUGAGUAACACGUGGGAACGUACCUUUAGGUUCGGGAUAACUCAGGGAAACUUGAGCUAAUACCGGAUAAGCCCUUUUGGGGAAAGAUUUAUCGCCUUUAGAGCGGCCCGCGUUAGAUUAGCUAGUUGGUGGGGUAAAGGCCCACCAAGGCUCCGAUCUAUAGCUGGUCUGAGAGGAUGAUCAGCCACACUGGGACUGAGACACGGCCCAGACUCCUACGGGAGGCAGCAGUGGGGAAUCUUGCGCAAUGGGCGAAAGCCUGACGCAGCCAUGCCGCGUGAAUGAUGAAGGUCUUAGGAUUGUAAAAUCCUUUUAGCAGGGACGAUAAUGACGGUACCUGCAGAAAAAGCCCCGGCUAACUUCGUGCCAGCCGCCGCCGUAA